UAGCAGUCUUCUUGAAAACCUCACAAAGCUUCAAGACUGAUUUUUUUUUUAAUCAUUCACAGCCCACCUCCAUAUAUAAAGCAACCUUCUUAGGCUUGGUUUUUUUUUCUUCCCUUGCUUGUAGACUUGUCUUAUAUCACUAAAACCCAGGCCCAUGGAAGCAAUAACUGUAUUGGUCAUGUUAACUUCUGAAGCCCCAGCUCCUCAUGCCUUCACAAAGCUUCAGAAACCCAGAGGUCAUUGUAUCUGAAUAUCUGAACAGCCUUACUUUCAAGAGACACAACCAGGAAUUCACUGGCUUUGGGGAAUAUCAGGAUACAUUAACACCACCUAGCUGCAGUGCUUCCCACACCUGUCACAACUCUAGCAACUCUCUUCUCAG
rnacentral:lncRNA from 1 species